rnacentral:piRNA from 1 species
UAAAAUGUUAAGGCCAUUGCUUGAGGG